AGAGACCUCUAACUGACAUUGUCCUUGGAGCUUCCUCCAUUGUGAUUUAAAGUUUCCUGACAAUUCAAGGCCUAUCUGGGAAAGUCAGGAUGAAUAUGGAUGAAUAAGAUUAACUCAAGAAUGUGAUCUUGUAUGUGACAUAUACAGUGUACUUAUACAGAAACACUGAAGAGGCAUUUAGCUACACCUGGCUUCCUGGAUUUAUGACUAUCUUACCUGAUUACCACAACAACUAUAGAAGCUAAGUAAAUCUUCAAUCACUCUUAUUUAAAAGCUGAAGAAAGUAAGCUUUAGAUGGUCAAAAUAAGUUUCAUGAGAUUAUGUAGCUAAGUCUCAAAGGAAGGGCUUCACUAACUCGAACUAUGUUUUUUUCCAAAAUGCUCUUUUUAUAUUGAGAAAAUAA